UACGUAGGGGCUAGCGUUGUCCGGAAUCAUUGGGCGUAAAGAGCGCGUAGGCGGCUGGAAUAGUCCGGUGUGAAUCCACAGGCUUAACCUGUGAAUGCCGCUGGAAACUGUCUGGCUAGAGUCCGGAAGGGGCGAGUGGAAUUCCUGGUGUAGCGGUGAAAUGCGCAGAUAUCAGGAGGAACACCAAUGGCGAAGGCAGCUCGCUGGGACGGUACUGACGCUGAGGCGCGAAGGCGUGGGGAGCGAACAGG
rnacentral:rRNA from 1 species